rnacentral:rRNA from 1 species
UACAGAGGUCUCAAGCGUUGUUCGGAUUCAUUGGGCGUAAAGGGUGCGUAGGUGGGUAGGUAAGUCAGUGGUGAAAUCUUCGAGCUUAACUCGGAAACUGCCAUUGAUACUAUUUAUCUUGAAUACUCUGGAGGUAAGCGGAAUAUGUCAUGUAGCGGUGAAAUGCUUAGAUAUGACAUAGAACACCAAUUGCGAAGGCAGCUUACUACAUAGUUAUUGACACUGAGGCACGAAAGCGUGGGGAUCAAACAGG